AACGAACGCUGGCGGCAUGCCUAACACAUGCAAGUCGAACGAGAUCUUCGGGUCUAGUGGCGCACGGGUGCGUAACGCGUGGGAAUCUGCCCUUUGGUUCGGAAUAACAGUUGGAAACGACUGCUACUACCGGAUGAUGACGAAGGUCCAAAGAUUUAUCGCUAGAGGAUCAGCCCGCGUAGGAUUAGCUAGUUGGUGUGGUAAAGGCGAACAAAGGCGACGAUCCUUAGCUGGUCUGUGAAGUUGAUCAGCCAAACUGGGAAUGAGACACGGCCCAGACUCGUACGGGAGGCAGCAGUGGGGAAUAUUGGACAAUGGGCGAAAGCCUGAUCCAGCAAUGCCGCGUGAGUGAUGAAGGCCUUAGGGUUGUAAAGCUCUUUUACCCGGGAUGAUAAUGACAGUACCGGGAGAAUAAGCUCCGGCUAACUCCGUGCCAGCCGCCGCCGUAA
rnacentral:rRNA from 1 species